GAUGAAGAACGCAGUGAAAUGCGAUACGUAAUGUGAAUUGCAGAAUUCAGUGAAUCAUCGAAUCUUUGAACGCACAUUGCGCCUGGCAGUAUUCUGCCAGGCAUGCCUGUCCGAGCGUCAUUUCACCACUCAAGCUCUGCUUGGUGUUGGAGGACCCGCGUUUAGUCGCGGGCCGCCGAAAUGCAUCGUCUGUUGUAUAUACAGCUUCCCUGUGUAGUAAAUGCUUAGCUUUACACUUUGAAACUUUUAUAUAACAUGCCGAAAAACCCUCAACUUUUGAAAGGUUGACCUCGGAUCAGGUAGGAAUACCCGCUGAACUUAAGCAUAUCAAUAAGCGGAGGA
rnacentral:misc_RNA from 1 species